rnacentral:piRNA from 1 species
UGAGCACACAUGACAAAGAGGGCUAGUUCU